GUCUCUCAGGCAGUACACAUACUAACAUUGGAACGAUACGGAGAAGAUUAAGCAUGCCCCCUGCGCAGGGAUGACUCGCAAAUUCGUGAAGCGUUCUCGCCGUCU